rnacentral:siRNA from 1 species
UUUGCCUCACCAAAGAUUGAUGUA